rnacentral:rRNA from 1 species
UACGUAGGGUGCAAGCGUUGUCCGGUAUUAUUGGGCGUAAAGAGCUCGUAGGCGGUCUGUCGCGUCGGCUGUGAAAACCCGGAGCUCAACUCCGGGCCUGCAGUCGAUACGGGCAGACUGGAGUUCGGCAGGGGAGACUGGAAUUCCUGGUGUAGCGGUGAAAUGCGCAGAUAUCAGGAGGAACACCGGUGGCGAAGGCGGGUCUCUGGGCCGAUACUGACGCUGAGGAGCGAAAGCGUGGGGAGCGAACAGG